rnacentral:rRNA from 1 species
AAUGAACGUUGGCGGCGUGCCUAACACAUGCAAGUCGAGCGAGAAAGUUCCUUCGGGAAUGAGUAGAGCGGCGGACGGGUGAGUAAUGCGUGAGAAUCUGCCUUUUAGUGAGGAAUACCUUCGGGAAACUGAAGUUAAUACCGCAUAAGUCCCUUCGGGGAGAAAGAUGGCCUCUAGCUGUCGCUAAAAGAUGAGCUUACGUUCUAUUAGUUUGUUGGUGAGGUAAAGGCUCACCAAGACGAUGAUGGAUAGCCGGCCUGAGAGGGUGAACGGCCACAUUGGAACUUAGACACGGUCCAGACUCCUACGGGAGCAGCAGUGAGGAAUAUUGCACAAUGGGCAAAGCCUGAUGCAGCGACGCCGCGUGGAGGAUGAAGGUUUUCGGAUCGUAAACUCCUGUUAAGUGGGAAAAAGUAUCGUUUCUGAAUAAGAACGAGAGAUGAUGGUACCACUAGAGAAAGCACCGGCUAACUC